UACGACCUUAUCACGUUGAAAUACCGGUUCUGGUACGAUCACUGAAGUUAAGAGACGUCGAUCCUGGUCAGUACUUACAUCGGUGACCGCUUGGGAAAAACAGGUACUGUAAG